rnacentral:rRNA from 1 species
UACGUAGGUGACAAGCGUUGUCCGGAUUUACUGGGCGUAAAGAGCGCGCAGGCGGUCGUUCAAGUCGAGUGUGAAAGCCCCCGGCUCAACUGGGGAGGGUCACUCGAUACUGAUCGACUCGAAGGCAGGAGAGGGAAGUGGAAUUCCCGGUGUAGCGGUGAAAUGCGCAGAUAUCGGGAGGAACACCAGUAGCGAAGGCGGCUCGCUGGGCCACACCUGACGCUGAGACGCGAAAGCUAGGGGAGCGAACAGG